GGGGUGGUGGCGCAGUUGGCUAGCGCGUAGGUCUCAUAAUCCCGAGGUCGAGAGUUAGAAACUCUCUCACCCAA
rnacentral:tRNA from 1 species